CACGUAGGGCGCAAGCGUUGUCCGGAAUUAUUGGGCGUAAAGAGCUCGUAGGUGGUUUGUUACGUCUGCUGUGAAAACCUAGGGCUUAACCCUGGGCUUGCAGUGGAUACGGGCAGACUAGAGGUAGGUAGGGGAGAAUGGAAUUCCUGGUGUAGCGGUGAAAUGCGUAGAUAUUCGCAAGAACACCAGUCGGCGAAGGCGGACUCACUGGCCCAUUACUGACGCUGAGGCACGAAAGCGUGGGGAGCAAACAGGG
rnacentral:rRNA from 1 species